rnacentral:rRNA from 1 species
GACGAACGCUGGCGGCGUGCUUAACACAUGCAAGUCGAACGGAAAGGCCCUGCUUUUGUGGGGUGCUCGAGUGGCGAACGGGUGAGUAACACGUGAGUAACCUGCCCUUGACUUUGGGAUAACUUCAGGAAACUGGGGCUAAUACCGGAUAGGAGCUCCUGCUGCAUGGUGGGGGUUGGAAAGUUUCGGCGUUUGGGGAUGGACUCGCGGCUUAUCAGCUUGUUGGUGGGGUAGUGGCUUACCAAGGCUUUGACGGGUAGCCGGCCUGUGAGGGUGACCGGCCACAUUGGGACUGAGAUACGGCCCAGACGCCUACGGGAGGCAGCAGUGGGGAAUAGUGCAAAAUGGGCGGAAGCCUGAUGCAGCAACGCCGCGUGCGGGAUGACGGCCUUCGGGUUGUAAACCGCUUUCGCCUGUGACGAAGCGUGAGUGACGGUAAUGGGUAAAGAAGCACCGGCUAACUACGUG